UACAGAGGUCUCAAGCGUUGUUCGGAUUCAUUGGGCGUAAAGGGUGCGUAGGCGGCGCGGUAAGUCGGGUGUGAAAUCUCGGAGCCUAACUCCGAAACUGCAUUCGAUACUGCCGUGCUUGAGGACUGGAGAGGAGACUGGAAUUUACGGUGUAGCGGUGAAAUGCGUAGAUAUCGUAAGGAAGACCAGUGGCGAAGGCGGGUCUCUGGACAGUUCCUGACGCUGAGGCACGAAGGCCAGGGGAGCAAACGGG
rnacentral:rRNA from 1 species